CUAAUACAUGCAAGUAGAACGCUGACUACUUUAGCUUGCUAGAGUAGAAGGAGUUGCGAACGGGUGAGUAACGCGUAGGUAACCUGCCUACUAGCGGGGGAUAACUAUUGGAAACGAUAGCUAAUACCGCAUAACAGUGUUUAACACAUGUUAGAUGCUUGAAAGAUGCAAUUGCAUCACUAGUAGAUGGACCUGCGUUGUAUUAGCUAGUUGGUGGGGUAACGGCCCACCAAGGCGACGAUACAUAGCCGACCUGAGAGGGUGAUCGGCCACACUGGGACUGAGACACGGCCCAGACUCCUACGGGAGGCAGCAGUAGGGAAUCUUCGGCAAUGGGGGCAACCCUGACCGAGCAACGCCGCGUGAGUGAAGAAGGUUUUCGGAUCGUAAAGCUCUGUUGUAAGAGAAGAACGUGUGUGAGAGUGGAAAGUUCACACAGUGACGGUAACUUACCAGAAAGGGACGGCUAACUACGUGCCAGCAGCCGCGGUAAUACGUAGGUCCCGAGCGUUGUCCGGAUUUAUUGGGCGUAAAGCGAGCGCAGGCGGUUUAAUAAGUCUGAAGUUAAAGGCAGUGGCUUAACCAUUGUUCGCUUUGGAAACUGUUAAACUUGAGUGCAGAAGGGGAGAGUGGAAUUCCAUGUGUAGCGGUGAAAUGCGUAGAUAUAUGGAGGAACACCGGUGGCGAAAGCGGCUCUCUGGUCUGUAACUGACGCUGAGGCUCGAAAGCGUGGGGAGCAAAACAGGAUA
rnacentral:rRNA from 1 species